AAGGAGAGUGGUGCUUCAGUGGAAAGAGACAGAGAGAGCUGAAGAGAAGAAAUAUUAGAGAGAGAACUGGGUUUUUCAUGCACUGAAUGUAAAAAUGGAUCAAGCUUGAAAGAGAAGAAAAGGGCGAGAGCAAGCUUCACCAUAGUCAAAGCCCAAAAGCUUCAACAUUGUCAAACUCCAUGGACGCCAGCGAGAGCUCAAUUGAAAGUGGGAAGUCGAGAGCUCACCUUUGAAGAUCAGUGAGCAGAAGCAGCCAUUGAAGACUUGCCGGAGCUUUUCCGGUGAAGACAGACAGAACAGUUUCAGCGCCUAAACAGAACGGAGAAACUGACCCAUUUCCGGUGUGCUUAAGUUCAGUCCUGCGAAUCUUCAAGCUACAAGACUGAGUUCAGGACCUGCAUACCUUCACCGACGACAACUGAGAGCUCACGACCAGCAUACUUUCACCUGUGAUAGACCCAGAAGCUUCAUCCAUUUCUUCCACCGGUGAUAGAAUUACGAGUUCAGGACCUGCAUACUUUCCCCGGUGACAAAAUCGUGAGCUCACGACCAGCACACUUUUACCGGUGAUAGACCCAGAAGCUUCAUCCAUGUUUUCCACCAGUGAUAGAACCAGAAUCGUCAUCUUUAUUUCGACCAGUGAUAGACCCAAUUGAGAAGCUCCAUUUGAAGACCCUAAACCGGUGUGUUGUUGUUUAGCUCUGUUCAGUCAAAAUUCAGUUGGUCCAAAUUUCAGGUGUAUGCUAGGGUUCCAAUGUUGGGUUGAUUAUUGAGCCGAAAUGAAGGUCCAGCCUUUGACCGUCUGCAUAUCAUUGAAGAACUGAGCUGUUGAAUAUAUCUCAGUCCAUGGUGAUUCAAUUGGGGCACUUACAUUGUUCAUCUAUUGUUCAACCAAGAGAGCUUCUAAAGGAGUAUCAGUGAGCUUCACUUUUACAUAUAUUCAAUUGACUGUGAGCUCUCUUUGGAUAUCAAGCCAUACAAACCACUGAACAUUAUCAAUAUCUUAACAGUGAGCCACAUUGGAGUCAUGGGUUUACACUAAGCAUCACUGAAGAGUGACUCAAUCAAAGAGCUUCCAGUGAGCUAGAGAAGAACACUCGAAGAAGAAUAACUAAUCACAAGGGCUACAUCAAUGUGGGCUUGGGUCUCAUUUGCUAUACCAUUCAAAUCAUAGAGCAAACGGGGUGCAACCUAAUGGAGCCAUGGUGAUCGACUUCAAGCUUGGAAAGAGGGUGAACCACAUUCAGAUCAUCUUUCUCGACCUUCAAGUUUGAAGUAAGGUAAUUGUUGGCUAGGGUGUGUACUAGCUUCGAGAGAGAUCCGAUUCGUGAGGUUGUCCUCGCUGUUAGGUGAUCACUGAUCUCUUGCUUCGAACCAGUCCCACAGUUGCCGAUUGUUGCCGGUUUCUUCAUCGAUGGCCGUCUGCGUUGCUAUUACCAGUGUCGAUUGGUUGUGUAGUCGCCAUUUACGAUUGCUUUUAUGGUCGGCUUCUUCGUUUGGGGCUUACUAUGUUCAUGAGCUGGUCCUUUGGUAUCACCAAGAGGUCACUGUAGUCUUGCUGUCAUUGAGCUGUAGUUUGGGACUGAAGGUGAAAAAUGUUAUUAGAAGUUCAAGUCUCAAGGUUGAGUAUCCGCAGUUGGAGGACUUAUCCAUUCUUUCGGUUUAUUUAAAAGGGGUAUCACAAAGAAGAAGAGGGGUGAUUAGCUACGGGAUUUGGGGUGUUUGGCCAUUGAAGUUGGGUUAGUCCAGACUGGUUGUCCCCUAACCCAGUUUUGCAGAGACCCGAUUACAGAUUCGACCCGAUUUGAGAUCCGGUUGGAGGUUCUACCCGAAUCCUUUUCUGAUCCGGGUCUGGUUCGACCUCGUUUCUCCUUAUUUGGGUCUGUUCUGUUCUGCUUUCUUUCUUCCUGUAGUGUUCGGUUCUUCUUCUGUUCCCGAUUCGAUUAUGUUCUAGCCUUCUCUGGUGUAACAGUUUUUUUUUUUUUUGUUUCUCUUCAGUUCUUUUCGGGACAGAUUUGGCAUCAGUGUGACUUUAAAUUGGGACAAAUAAGUUUUUUUCAGUUUACAUAGACAUUUGCUUUGUUUUAGCAGUUGCUUCUAUUUUUGUGGCAUUAAAUCCAUGUCGGAAACUUCAACUGUUGCUUCUCAGUCGACUGGAAUUAAAUCUCCUGCAACACAUGUUGAUCAUGUCGGGUUGCAAAUUGCAACUGUGAAAUUAAGUAAUUCCAAUUACUUACUAUGAGCCUAAGCAGUGAAAAUCUCUUUAGGCGCUCGACGAAAGCUGAAGUUUAUUACAGAUGACUCUCCAAUAAAUACAUCAAUAGCGUAUGAGGACUGGGAAACUGAUAACUACUUGGUUAUGUCCUGGUUGUGGAACAGUAUGGAUCCUUGCAUUACAUUCACUUUUAUGUUUACAAACACUGCAAAGGGAAUAUAUGGGGAUGCAGUUAAAGAAACCUACUCUAUGGACACCAAUGUUUCUCGCAUAUAUUCACUGUAUGAGAAGAUGUUUUGUUCUAGUCAA